rnacentral:tRNA from 1 species
CGGGGUAUAGCUCAGUGGUAGAGCAUAUUCGGCUGCAGAACGAGAGGUCCCGGUUCAAACCCGGGUGUCCCUU